CGUGGGGAUUCGUCCCCAUUGAGAUAGCACCCUUUGUUCAUGAGUACCCUUGUUUCCUCGGCGGGCCUGCCCGCCAGUAGGACAAUAUCAAAACCCUUUUGCAGUAGUAGUAACUUCAGUUAAUAAACAAAUAUUAAAACUUUCAACAACGGAUCUCUUGGUUCUGGCAUCGAUGAAGAACGCAGCGAAAUGCGAUAAGUAGUGUGAAUUGCAGAAUUCAGUGAAUCAUCGAAUCUUUGAACGCACAUUGCGCCCUUCGGUAUUCCGUUGGGCAUGCCUGUUCGAGCGUCAUUUAAACCUUCAAGCUAUGCUUGGUGUUGGGUGUUUGUCCCGCCUCAGCGCGUGGACUCGCCUCAAAUCCAUUGGCAGCCGGUAUGUUGGCUUCGUGCGCAGCACAUUGCAAGCGGAACUCAGCAGACCUCCUCCCACAAGCCCUU
rnacentral:rRNA from 1 species